rnacentral:rRNA from 1 species
CCUACGGGUGGCAGCAGUGGGGAAUAUUGCACAAUGGGGGUAACCCUGAUGCAGCGACGCCGCGUGGGCGAAGAAGUACUUCGGUAUGUAAAGCCCUAUCAGCAGGGAAGAAAAUGACGGUACCUGACUAAGAAGCCCCGGCUAACUACGUGCCAGCAGCCGCGGUAAUACGUAGGGGGCAAGCGUUAUCCGGAUUUACUGGGUGUAAAGGGGGCGUAGGCGGUACUGCAAGCCAGAUGUGAAAACCCUGGGCGCAACCCCGGGACUGCAUUUGAAACUGGAAUGCUAGAGUGGCGGAGAGGCAUGCGGAAUUCGUGGUGGAGCGGUGAAAUGCGUAGAUAUUAGGAGGAACACCAGUGGCGAAGGCGGCCUGCUGGACGAUGACUGACGUUGAGGCUCGAAAGCGUGGGGAGCAAACAGGAUUAGAUACCCCGGUAGUC